GACGAACGCUGGCGGCGUGCUUAACACAUGCAAGUCGAACGGAAAGGCCCUGCUUGCAGGGUACUCGAGUGGCGAACGGGUGAGUAACACGUGGGUGAUCUGCCCUGCACUUCGGGAUAAGCCUGGGAAACUGGGUCUAAUACCGGAUAGGAGCCAUUUUUAGUGUGAUGGUUGGAAAGUUUUUUCGGUGUAGGAUGAGCUCGCGGCCUAUCAGCUUGUUGGUGGGGUAAUGGCCUACCAAGGCGGCGACGGGUAGCCGGCCUGAGAGGGUGGACGGCCACAUUGGGACUGAGAUACGGCCCAGACUCCUACGGGAGGCAGCAGUGGGGAAUAUUGAACAAUGGGCGCAAGCCUGAUGCAGAGACGCCGCGGGGGGGAGGACGGCCUUCGGGUUGGAAACUCCGUUCGCUAGGGACGAAGCUUUUUGUGACGGUACCUAGAGAAGAAGCACCGGCUAACUACGUG
rnacentral:rRNA from 1 species